rnacentral:rRNA from 1 species
GGACGAACGCUGGCGGCGUGCUUAACGCAUGCAAGUCGAACGGAAAGGCCCUGCUUUUGUGGGGUGCUCGAGUGGCGAACGGGUGAGUAACACGUGAGUAACCUGCCCUUGACUUUGGGAUAACUUCAGGAAACUGGGGCUAAUACCGGAUAGGAGCUCCUGCUGCAUGGUGGGGGUUGGAAAGUUUCGGCGGUUGGGGAUGGACUCGCGGCUUAUCAGCUUGUUGGUGGGGUAGUGGCUUACCAAGGCUUUGACGGGUAGCCGGCCUGAGAGGGUGACCGGCCACAUUGGGACUGAGAUACGGCCCAGACUCCUACGGGAGGCAGCAGUGGGGAAUAUUGCACAAUGGGCGGAAGCCUGAUGCAGCAACGCCGCGUGCGGGAUGACGGCCUUCGGGUUGUAAACCGCUUUCGCCUGUGACGAAGCGUGAGUGACGGUAAUGGGUAAAGAAGCACCGGCUAACUACGUG